UGUGGGGUUUUUAAAUUGAAGAGGCAUGGGUUAUUCUACAUUGUACACCCAUGGGGAGACUUUAUCUCCUACGUAUUUUUAUGCCGGGCUGCUUCAAGUUUGCCAUUCUCUCUCUCUCUCAUGUCAUCCUCAGGAGUGCGAGACUCAGAGGGGUCAGGUCCCAUCCAGGAAGCUGAGCCCGAGCCCAGCGGGAGGAAAGCCCAUCCUUGAACUCAGAGCUGCACAGAGGAGUUAGAGACCCAGCUCCUGGCCUCCUGGCUGACCUGGGGCAAGGCAUUUUUAGCCCCCUCUGAGCUCGGCGUCCUACCACGGUGACUAUCGGCCCCCUCGGGGUACUGGGGAGUUCCCUCGCUUGGGGCUACAGGGAGGAGGAGCUUGGACCCAGAGACAAGACACACAUGGGGAAGCAGCCAUGCCAGAGCGCGUGCGGAGACUGGUGUGGAGCAGCUACAAGGGCCUCUAGAACUGCCGGCCACAGCAGAAGCUGGACGAGACCAGGAAGGACCCCGCCUGGGUGACAGUGGCCCUGCUGACCCCUUGCGUCCACCUGCUGGCACCCAGCAGCAUGCAGUGGUAACCUGACGUGGCUUCCAGCCGCCCCGUCUUUGGCAUGGGUCAGGGCGGCCCCUUGGCAGGAAGGACUUUGGUGCUGGGGUUGGGGGCCUGCAGGAGGCGGGGUGAGGCUGCCCACACACACCUUGACCUCCACCGUGGUGCUCCAGGGCAGGUGUAGGACCAGGGUGCUUCCUGCUCUGGAAACGGAAGACAAUUCUAACUCAGCCUAAAGACCCAAUGCCACCGUGGCCCGUCCCUCCCCUCUCCAUCUUCUUCCUCCUCAGGAACCCGCCCAAAGCGACCCUGCAGUUGUGGGUCCAAAGCUGACAGCUCUGUUUGCAAGACAGGCUCCCAGCUGAAGGCUCUGCAAUGUUUCCCUCUCACUGUUGUUUUGGGUCCGGGAUCACAGUCCACCACGGUCACUCGGUGUCUCUGGGGGCCACCGCAGCAAGUCCCUCCAGACUGUGUGGUUGGGUGCACCCUGCCAGGGGAGCACCCAAGGAGAAUGGGCCGCCCUCUGCUUGCUGCCUGAGGGGAAGUCUCCGGGCCCCAGUCACAGUGCAUUGCUGUACUUCCUCUGGCACCCGUCUCCCCACGUGACAGUGGUCCUGGUUUCUCCCUUUUUGGGUUCCCAAGAGCUAACAUGUGGUAGGGUCGUUGUAACUGUUUGUGCACUGCACACAUCCUUCCACUCGCCGUCAAGAAUCUUGAGUCUUGCAAGCCAGUUCGCUCACCGAUGGGGCCACUUGGAGCAGGGGAGUGCCAUUUUGGACCUCCUGCCGAGCGUCUGCUGUCACCUGAGCGAAUAUGUGAUGAGGAGGCAACCUGGGCUCGGAAAGGUGGCCUCACAGCGCAGACGGGGGAGGGAGCCGCCGGAGUCCGGGUCUGCAGACUCGGGAGUGGCCUCCAAACCCGGUCUAUUCCCAGCACGCCCACUCCCUCCAAGCAACCAUCUAUUCAGAGGCUGUGGGACGCCACCGGGGUCCAGAUGGUGCAGAAACCAAAUGGAAAAACUCGCACCGUCUCUGAGUCGAGCAUUCUUCCUGCUAGGUGUCUCCGAAUCUCCUCAGUCCACCUCCCUGAGGUUCCCCAGGAGGCCAGGGAUAAGGACCUCCUACCCAGAACCUUGUCAUUGCUGUCGCAGAGUGACUGUCGUCCUGGAAGGUCUGGGAACGGGAGAAAUGCAGGCGCAUUGGCAGGGAGCAGGAUCAGAAGCAGAGCGGCCGGGACUUGAACUGGUGCUGUGACAUGAGACGCCUGCAUCGGAGCCCAUGCUUCAUCCACUGCAUCACAACGCCGGCCCAGUGUCUCAUCCUCAACAGAAACAGAAGCCAAAACCUGUGCGCU